rnacentral:rRNA from 1 species
GAUCAUGGCUCAGGAUGAACGCUGGCGGCGUGCCUAACACAUGCAAGUCGAGCGAUUCUCUUCGGAGAAGAGCGGCGGACGGGUGAGUAACGCGUGGGUAACCUGCCUCAUACACAUGGAUAACAUACCGAAAGGUAUGCUAAUACAGGAUAACAUAAGAGAUUCACAUGGAUUUCUUAUCAAAGCUCCGGCGGUAUGAGAUGGACCCGCGUCUGAUUAGCUAGUUGGUAAGGUAACGGCUUACCAAGGCGACGAUCAGUAGCCGACCUGAGAGGGUGAUCGGCCACAUUGGAACUGAGACACGGUCCAAACUCCUACGGGAGGCAGCAGUGGGGAAUAUUGCACAAUGGGCGAAAGCCUGAUGCCAGCAACGCCGCGUGAGUGAUGAAGGCUUUCGGGUCGUAAAACUCUGUCCUCAAGGAAGAUAAUGACGGUACUUGAGGAGGAAGCCCCGGCUAACUACGUGCCAGCCGCAGC